AUUGAACGCUGGCGGUAUGCUUAACACAUGCAAGUCGAACGGUAACAGGCCUUCGGGCGCUGACGAGUGGCGGACGGGUGCGUAACGCGUAGGAAUCUGCCGAUUAGUGGGGGACAACUUGGGGAAACUCAAGCUAAUACCGCAUACGCCCUACGGGGGAAAGCGGGGGACCUUCGGGCCUCGCGCUAAUCGAUGAGCCUGCGUGGGAUUAGCUAGUUGGUAGGGUAAAGGCCUACCAAGGCGACGAUCCCUAGCUGGUCUGAGAGGACGGUCAGCCACACUGGGACUGAGACACGGCCCAGACUCCUACGGGAGGCAGCAGUGGGGAAUAUUGGACAAUGGGCGCAAGCCUGAUCCAGCAAUACCGCGUGUGUGAAGAAGGCCUGAGGGUUGUAAAGCACUUUUAAUCGGGAGGAACAUCUGAUGGUUAAUACCCAUCAGUCUGACAUUACCGAUAGAAAAAGCACCGGCUAACUCCGUGCCAGCAGCCGCCGUAACAC
rnacentral:rRNA from 1 species